rnacentral:lncRNA from 1 species
UACAAGUUCAUUUUCAGAUGGAAUUAUUUCCAAGUUGAGAGUUGCUUAAUGCGAAAGGAUGUUUGGGCAGUGAGACUCUCAGCUGGUACAGGGAGAAGUGUGACGUGACCCACACAACGUGCUACCCCCAGGAAACCCCUGUUUCCUGUUCUGGGGUGGCAGCAGCACAUACCCAGCCAUCCUUCCCUCACCUGGCAGGCUCCCCUCACAGUGCCCAGCCCUGAAAUUGAAGUAGACAGUUCCCAUCUAGUGGAAGAUCUCAAACAUGUUGCUGUCCAGGCUUCUGAAGGUGGUCAUGGCUUUAAAGUGGAUCCAGUAUUUCCCAGAAGGCAACUCAAGUCCAACCAGCAAUGUUACUGCAGGAAAAGGUGGCUGUCAUCCUGGAAUGCACAUAUGACCCCGGUGAUCUAAGUUACAGUCUAUUGUGGUACAAGUAGCCCCAGCAGCGGGGAGAUGAUUUUCCUUGUUCUUCAGGAUUCUUAGAAGCAAAAAGUGCCACAGAAGGUUGCUUGUCAUUGAAUUUCCAGAAAACAAGAAAAUCCAUUCAUCAUGUCAUCUCAGUUUCACAGCUGGAAGACUCCCCAGUGUAUUUCUCUGCACUGAUGGAGUCUACAGUAAGAGGCGUGUUGGGGGUAGGUACCCAAACCCCAGGGCUCUUGUUGAUACAUCCACCUGCUGUAGGGUUCAAGGCAGGGAAUUUCUGACCCACACAGGAAGUGGCUAGGGCUGUGGCAGCUCAGGUGUAGGCUAGAGGGAAAACCCGACUCUGAAAAAGUACUUCUAGGUAAGAAUUAUCAUGAUUAAAAAUCAUCCUUAUUCCUGAAUCAUUGCCUAUAUUAUGAACAUACAAAAAUAUAUAUAUUCCUUUUUAUGAGAGAGAGAGAGAGCAUGGGUGAGUGGGGUAGGGAGAGAGAAAGUCUUUUAGACAGACUACAGGCCAGCAUAGAGCCUGAUUUCAUCAACUGUGAAAUCAUGACCUGAGCCAAAGUCAAGAGUCAGACGCUUAACAGACUAAGCCACCUAGGAACCCUGCACAUAAAAAAUUUUGGACAAAGAUUGGAGA